GACGAACGCUGGCGGCGUGCUUAACACAUGCAAGUCGAACGGUAAGGCCCUUCGGGGUACACGAGUGGAGAACGGGUGAGUAACACGUGGGUGAUCUACCCUGCACUUCGGGAUAAGCCUGGGAAACUGGGUCUAAUACCGGAUAGGACCCUGGGAUGCAUGUCCUGGGGUGGAAAGCUUUUGCGGUGUGUGAUGGGACCGCGGCCUAUCAGUUUGUUGCUGGGGUGAUGGCCUAGCAAGGGGACGACGGGUAGCCGGCCUGAAAGGGUGACCGGCCACACUGGGACUGAGAUACGGCCCAGACUCCUACGGGAGGCAGCAGUGGGGAAUAUUGCACAAUGGGCGCAAGCCUGAUGCAGCGACGCCGCGUGAGGGAUGACGGCCUUCGGGUUGUAAACCUCUUUCAGCACCGACGAAGCGCAAGUGACGGUAGGUGCAGAAGAAGGACCGGCCAACUACGUGCCAGCCGCCGCCGUAA
rnacentral:rRNA from 1 species